rnacentral:rRNA from 1 species
GUUGAACGCUGGCGGCAUGCCUAACACAUGCAAGUCGAGCGGAUGAAGGGAGCUUGCUCCUGGCUUCAGCGGCGGACGGGUGAGUAAUUCCUACGAGUCUGCCUGGUCUUGGGGGCUAACGUCCGUACGCGGGCGCUAAUACCGCAUACGUCAUUAUGGAGAAAGUGGGGGUUCUUUGGACCUAGACCGUUUUGCUGACCCUUGUACGGAUUAGCUAGUUGGUGUGGUAAGGGCCUACCAAGGCGACGAUCCGUACCUGGUCUGAGAGGAUGAUCUGCCACACUGGAACUGAGACACGGUCCAGACUCCUACGGGAGGCAGCAGUAGGGAAUCUUGGACAAUGGGCGAAAGCCUGAUGCAGCAACGCCGCGUGUGUGAAGAAGGUCUUCGGAUUGUAAAGCACUGUUAGUUGGGAGGAAGGGAAGUAUGUUAAAACCUGGAUGUUUUGACGUUACCAACAGAAUAAGCAACGGCUAACUUCGUG